UACGGAGACUACGAGCGUUACUCGGAUUCACUGGGCGUAAAGGGAGCGCAGGCGGGCUGAUGUGUUAGAUGUGAAAUCCCGGGGCUUAACCUCGGAAUUGCGUCUAAAACUAUCAGUCUAGAGUCUUGGAGAGGUAAGCGGAAUUUCCAGUGUAGCGGUAAAAUGCGCAGAUAUUGGAAGGAACACCGAAGGCGAAGGCAGCUUACUGGACAGGAACUGACGCUCAUGCUCGAAAGCGUGGGGAUCGAAA
rnacentral:rRNA from 1 species